AGUGAACGCUGGCGGCAGGCCUAACACAUGCAAGUCGAACGGCAGCACAGGAGAGCUUGCUCUCUGGGUGGCGAGUGGCGGACGGGUGAGGAAUAUAUCGGAAUCUACCCUUUCGUGGGGGAUAACGUAGGGAAACUUACGCUAAUACCGCAUACGAACUGAGGUUGAAAGCGGCGGACCGCAAGGCGUCGCGCGGAUGGAUGAGCCGAUAUCCGAUUAGCUAGUUGGCGGGGUAAAGGCCCACCAAGGCGACGAUCGGUAGCUGGUCUGAGAGGAUGAUCAGCCACACUGGAACUGAGACACGGUCCAGACUCCUACGGGAGGCAGCAGUGGGGAAUAUUGGACAAUGGGCGCAAGCCUGAUCCAGCCAUGCCGCGUGUGUGAAGAAGGCCUUCGGGUUGUAAAGCACUUUUGUUGGGAAAGAAAAGCGGUCGGUUAAUACCCGGUCGUUCUGACGGUACCCAAAGAAUAAGCACCGGCUAACUUCGUGCCAGCCGCCGCAGUAACAC
rnacentral:rRNA from 1 species